rnacentral:rRNA from 1 species
AUUGAACGCUGGCGGCAGGCCUAACACAUGCAAGUCGAACGGUAGCACAGAGAGCUUGCUCUCGGGUGACGAGUGGCGGACGGGUGAGUAAUGUCUGGGAAACUGCCUGAUGGAGGGGGAUAACUACUGGAAACGGUAGCUAAUACCGCACAACGUCGCAAGACCAAAGAGGGGGACCUUCGGGCCUCUUGCCAUCAGAUGUGCCCAGAUGGGAUUAGCUAGUAGGUGGGGUAACGGCUCACCUAGGCGACGAUCCCUAGCUGGUCUGAGAGGAUGACCAGCCACACUGGAACUGAGACACGGUCCAGACUCCUACGGGAGGCAGCAGUGGGGAAUAUUGCACAAUGGGCGCAAGCCUGAUGCAGCCAUGCCGCGUGUAUGAAGAAGGCCUUCGGGUUGUAAAGUACUUUCAGCGGGGAGGAAGGUGUUGUGGUUAAUAACCACAGCAAUUGACGUACC